AUUUGUUUCAAGAAAGGGAGUAACUUACUUCAAAAUGUCAUUUUAAAAUUUUUAUUCUUUAAUGAUAUUCUGGUGUUAUUACCAAAUGUUUAGCAGUAUGAAACCUAUAAUAUUAUAUACCAUACUAUAUACCCUAUUUUACUUAUAAAGUUAAUAAUCUGUAAAGUAAUUUGUAAAAAAUUUUUAAUUGUAAAAUUGCUACAUGAGAAGACAAGUUGUUAGAUGAAAUUCAAAUAUUCUCUAUGUUUGUGUUGUGUAGGUCAAAAAAUAAUAAACAAAGAUGAUAUUGAUUGUGAUGACCAGGAGAUUCAUUUUAAGACACAUCAAUCUUCAUCAUCUUUAAAUAAAAAGGAUAAACAUUAUGGAUUUCCAUUAUCUCAAGCAAAAACAAAGAGUUCAAAAUAUUAGUAGUAAGAACUGUCAAAAACUUGUGAUAGCUAUGAUGAAGAGUUUGUGCAUCGACUUCUCACGAAUCAUACACAGAGUCGAUUGUCGAUGCAAUAAUUGCUGAUUCGUGAAAACGGGCAACUUUUGCUUGUCUUAAAGUGCCUUAAAUCCAUCGUUAUAAUAUUACUUUGUUUGUAAAUUGUUUUAAAAAAUAAAUUUAAAAAUAACUUUUAAAUAAA